rnacentral:rRNA from 1 species
GACGAACGCUGGCGGCGUGCUUAACACAUGCAAGUCGAACGGAAAGGCCCUGCUUUUGUGGGGUGCUCGAGUGGCGAACGGGUGAGUAACACGUGAGUAACCUGCCCUUGACUUUGGGAUAACUUCAGGAAACUGGGGCUAAUACCGGAUAGGAGCUCCUGCUGCAUGGUGGGGGUUGGAAAGUUUCGGCGGUUGGGGAUGGACUCGCGGCUUAUCAGCUUGUUGGUGGGGUAGUGGCUUACCAAGGCUUUGACGGGUAGCCGGCCUGAGAGGGUGACCGGCGACAUUGGGACUGAGAUACGGCCCAGACUCCUACGGGAGGCAGCAGUGGGGAAUAUUGCAGAAUGGGCGGAAGCCUGAGGCAGCAACGCCGCGUGCGGGAUGACGGCCUUCGGGUUGUAAACCGCUUUGGCAUGUGACGAAGAGUGAGUGACGGUAAUGGGUAAAGAAGCACCGGCUAACUACGUG